GUCAGAAGAAGUUCUGACAUCCGAAGGAAGGUAAACCCGGGGAACUGAAACAUCUAAGUACCCGGAGGAAGAGAAAUCAAACGAGAUACCCAAAGUAGCGGCGAGCGAAAUGGGCAGAUGCCCAAACCGUAACACUUCGGUGAUACGGGGUUGAGGACCGGCAGAAAUUAAGGAACGUUUAGCCGAAUGACUUGGAAAGGUCAGGCAUAGGAGGUAAAACCCCCGUAGGCGAAAAGCGGAACUUAAGGGCCGGGAUCCAGAGUAUCGCGGGGCACGAGAAACCUUGCGAGAAGCUGGGGGGACCACCCUCCAAGGCAAAAC
rnacentral:rRNA from 1 species